rnacentral:rRNA from 1 species
UGGGGAAUAUUGGACAAUGGGCGAAAGCCUGAUCCAGCCAUGCCGCGUGUGUGAAGAAGGUCUUCGGAUUGUAAAGCACUUUAAGUUGGGAGGAAGGGCAGUAAGCGAAUACCUUGCUGUUUUGACGUUACCGACAGAAUAAGCACCGGCUAACUCUGUGACAGCAGCCGCGGUAAUACAGAGGGUGCAAGCGUUAAUCGGAAUUACUGGGCGUAAAGCGCGCGUAGGUGGUUCGUUAAGUUGAAUGUGAAAGCCCCGGGCUCAACCUGGGAACUGCAUCCAAAACUGGCGAGCUAGAGUAGGGCAGAGGGUGGUGGAAUUUCCUGUGUAGCGGUGAAAUGCGUAGAUAUAGGAAGGAACACCAGUGGCGAAGGCGACCACCUGGGCUCAUACUGACACUGAGGUGCGAAAGCGUGGGGAGCAAACAGG